rnacentral:rRNA from 1 species
UGGGGAAUAUUGGACAAUGGGCGAAAGCCUGAUCCAGCCAUGCCGCGUGUGUGAAGAAGGUCUUCGGAUCGUAAAGCACUUUAAGUUGGGAGGAAGGGCAGUUACCUAAUACGUGAUUGUUUUGACGUUACCGACAGAAUAAGCACCGGCUAACUCUGUGCCAGCAGCCGCGGUAAUACAGAGGGUGCAAGCGUUAAUCGGAAUUACUGGGCGUAAAGCGCGCGUAGGUGGUUAGUUAAGUUGGAUGUGAAAUCCCCGGGCUCAACCUGGGAACUGCAUUCAAAACU